UGGGGAAUUUUUGGACAAUGGGGGCGAACCCUCGAUCCCAGCAAAUUGCCGCGUGAGUGAAGAAGGCCUUCGGGUUGUAAAGCUCUUUUGUCAGGGAAGAAACGGUGGUGGCGAAUAACUACUACUAAUGACGGUACCUGAAGAAUAAGCACCGGCUAACUACGUGCCAGCAGCCGCGGUAAUACGUAGGGUGCAAGCGUUAAUCGGAAUUACUGGGCGUAAAGCGUGCGCAGGCGGUUGUGUAAGUCAGAUGUGAAAUCCCGCC
rnacentral:rRNA from 1 species